GACGAACGCUGGCGGCGUGCUUAACGCAUGCAAGUCAAACGGAAAGGCCCUGCUUUUGUGGGGUGCUCGAGUGGCGAACGGGUGAGUAACACGUGAGUAACCUGCCCUUGACUUUGGGAUAACUUCAGGAAACUGGGGCUAAUACCGGAUAGGAGCUCCUGCUGCAUGGUGGGGGUUGGAAAGUUUCGGCGGUUGGGGAUGGACUCGCGGCUUAUCAGCUUGUUGGUGGGGUAGUGGCUUACCAAGGCUUUGACGGGUAGCCGGCCUGAGAGGGUGACCGGCCACAUUGGGACUGAGAUACGGCCCAGACUCCUACGGGAGGCAGCAGUGGGGAAUAUUGCACAAUGGGCGGAAGCCUGAUGCAGCAACGCCGCGUGCGGGAUGACGGCCUUCGGGUUGUAAACCGCUUUCGCCUGUGACGAAGCGUGAGUGACGGUAAUGGGUAAAGAAGCACCGGCUAACUACGUG
rnacentral:rRNA from 1 species